UACCUUGCGGAAGGAUCAUUACAGAGCGUGAGACUUGGCCCGGGCGUGUCCCGCGUGUCGAGUCGACCCUCCACCCGUGUUGACUUUAUCUGUUGCUUUGGCGGGCCAGGUGCCUGACGCCGACCGGCUUCGUGCUGGCUCGCGUCCGCCAAAGACCCAACCUAACUCGUGUUGUCGUGUAGUCUGAGGAAGGAAUAUUGAAUUGUUAAAACUUUCAACAACGGAUCUCUUGGCUCUGGCAUCGAUGAAGAACGCAGCGAAAUGCGAUAAGUAAUGUGAAUUGCAGAAUUUAGUGAAUCAUCGAAUCUUUGAACGCACAUUGCGCCCCUUGGUAUUCCGAGGGGCAUGCCUGUUCGAGCGUCGUCACACCCCUCAAGCCGCGCCGUGUGUGUGGUUUGGUGUUGGGGCUCGUCCGUCGGGCGGCCCUUAAAGACAGUGGCGGUGCCGUUGUGGUCUCUACGCGUAGUACGAUUCUCGCGACAGAGCGGCAGCGGCGGCUUGCCAAUCAAUCCUUUCUUUCUUGAAGGUGACCUCGAAUCAUU
rnacentral:rRNA from 1 species